UUUGUGUUGGUCUAUACUGUACAACUCUGAGCGGUGGAUCACUCGGCUCGUGUGUCGAUGAAGAGUGCAGCCAACUGUGUGAAUUAAUGUGAACUGCGCAAUGCUUUGAACAUCGACAUCUUGAACGCAUAUUGCGGCCGCGGGAUAUCCCGUGGCCACGUCUGGCCGAGGGUCGGCU
rnacentral:rRNA from 1 species